rnacentral:rRNA from 1 species
CUAAUACAUGCAAGUCGAGCGGACAGAUGGGAGCUUGCUCCCUGAUGUUAGCGGCGGACGGGUGAGUAACACGUGGGUAACCUGCCUGUAAGACUGGGAUAACUCCGGGAAACCGGGGCUAAUACCGGAUGCUUGUUUGAACCGCAUGGUUCAAACAUAAAAGGUGGCUUCGGCUACCACUUACAGAUGGACCCGCGGCGCAUUAGCUAGUUGGUGAGGUAACGGCUCACCAAGGCAACGAUGCGUAGCCGACCUGAGAGGGUGAUCGGCCACACUGGGACUGAGACACGGCCCAGACUCCUACGGGAGGCAGCAGUAGGGAAUCUUCCGCAAUGGACGAAAGUCUGACGGAGCAACGCCGCGUGAGUGAUGAAGGUUUUCGGAUCGUAAAGCUCUGUUGUUAGGGAAGAACAAGUACCGUUCGAAUAGGGCGGUACCUUGACGGUACCUAACCAGAAAGCCACGGCUAACUACGUGCCAGCAGCCGCGGUAAUACGUAGGUGGCAAGCGUUGUCCGGAAUUAUUGGGCGUAAAGGGCUCGCAGGCGGUUUCUUAAGUCUGAUGUGAAAGCCCCCGGCUCAACCGGGGAGGGUCAUUGGAAACUGGGGAACUUGAGUGCAGAAGAGGAGAGUGGAAUUCCACGUGUAGCGGUGAAAUGCGUAGAGAUGUGGAGGAACACCAGUGGCGAAGGCGACUCUCUGGUCUGUAACUGACGCUGAGGAGCGAAAGCGUGGGGAGCGAACAGGAUUAGAUACCCUGGUAGUCCACGCCGUAAACGAUGAGUGCUAAGUGUUAGGGGGUUUCCGCCCCUUAGUGCUGCAGCUAACGCAUU